GCUUUAUCGGCUGGGGGGUUUCUGUGCUACUAAUGCACUGACACUGACAGAAUAGGAGAAAGAGGGAUAGAGAUGACUGCUUUCAACUACAUGGAUGUCCACCGAGCCAGGCGUGCGACAGGGAGACCACCAUCCCUGACGAGCAUCACUGACGGCGCACCGCCAGUAUUCUGCAAUGAUGCAGGAGCAGCCAUACUGUUGUCGGGACGACUGGACACACCCGGUGACCAGGUGUGCUUCCAGUCAUCAAAGAUGAAGGGCUGAGCCGCUAAAACCCUAAAGAAUUGUGGGAUGAGACUUCAGCUGUCAUCAAUGAGUACAUUCAUAUACAACUUCAUUCUACAUCUACAUACAUCUUUGAAGAAGUACAUACAGUAUUGCAAAAGUAAUACAUACAUAUAUAACACGACUUUGUUGCCGUAACCUUCCUCUGUAAAUGACAAUCCAUUAGAGGAGAUGUAAUGCUGUAAAGGGUAACAAGACCAAUGAUUGGAAUUGGUCUAUAACGAUAAUAGUUACCUGUACAGUACCAGUACAUGUAUGACAAUUGUAUCAUGAUCACUGCAGUCUUCCACUCUAAAUAUCAAGUAUGCAGUUUUUAUAUCAACCGGAUAAGCUGAGUCUCGGAGGCAGGGGUUCCAUGUAGAAAAAAUACCUGCCUCACUUUAGAUGUAAGGAUAAAGUAAGUUUUUCUUCUGUAAAAUGAAAGGAUGAAAAGAGUACCAUGUUAGGUGUUAUAUGUGAUCAAAACUAAAUGUCCUUGCUUUGAUGAGUUGCUGUUUAAACUACAGGUGGUCAUUUUCCAAGCAGAUGUUGGGAGAGAAGCUUGUGACACUGAUAUAGGAGGAUUGUUAGAGGAUAAUGAGACAAGUUCAUCUUACCUCCCAACAUCUGCUUGACGUUCAGAUAUACAAAUGUAAAUGUUCAAGCUUUGCUUGAAACAGAUGGUUGUUUGUAUUACUGCAAUAGUGAACAGCACAUGAUCACAUACAACUAUGUACAACAGCCUGUAUACAACUUGGAAUACACCAACUCUGUCAUCCCACA